rnacentral:lncRNA from 1 species
ACCUUCUUUACAAUUAAGUUCUCAUAUUUGGUCCUUAUAGUGUCAUGGCUCUUGAAUAAGAGUUAGGUCAUAACAGCCCACAACAAGCAGCUGACCCAAAAGGAUGGAAACAGCUCAGGAAUGCUGGAGAUUGAUUUGGAUCACCCUCAGACCUAUAACACUACAGGUGCCUAAGAUGGGUAAACUUCCAUGUCCACCACCAAAGACCGCGCACCAGAAGGUCCAGGCUUCCAGAAUCACGAUCCUUAUUAGCGAGCCCGACCAGUUCAUGUCCCCUUUGCAGGUGCAAUCGCUGAAGUAUCAGUCAUCUAAACUUGGAUUUAGGAUCUGAAAGUACCUUGAAGGUCCCUUUGUCGACACCAGAGAGAGCCUUAAAAUUAUCUACUUUGAUGGCCUUAGCCAAAACAAGAUCCACCAUUAUGAUGAUGUACUGUCCCUUUGCAUCCUUACUUCAACCCAAAACUCUCCAGUUCUCAGUUUUGAAUCCUGGAUUGUAGAUUUUGAGUUGAGCCAAAAGUUUAUUCACAUCCUCUGUGUGGAUAUCUGCAGU